UCUAGAAAGAUUAGAAGAGACCAAAAGUCUUCCUUUCUUCCGAAAACAUAAAUGUGCCAUCAAUAUUUUUCUUCUACUUUUACUCUUCAAAGGGGAUUGGUAGGAGGCUGGUGUUUGAGGACUUCAAUCACUGCACAAAAUUAAGUUUUUUGCUGUUGGGGUUUCCAAGUUAAAUUUGCACCACUACCAAAGAUUUGUUAACAAUUAGAGGGAACUGAAAUAAGGAGAUGGCCAUGGAGUGUGGCAAAGUGAUAGGCGCCAUGAACUUUGUGAGGGACGUCCAACAUUUUGAUAUGUCGACGUUUAAUCAACUGGAGGAUGCUAGAAAUAAUCUAGAACAUGCAGCUGGAUUUCUGAGAAAACUGGAGAAGAGAUCCCCUGAGAAUACGAUAUCAACAUAUCUUAGGCCCCUAUUUCUAGAAGCUCUUGAUGGUUUGUCUGCAAUAUCUUCUCACAUGAAGGAUCAAGGCCAGAAGAGUGACACCGCUGAAAGGAUUUCGAAGGUGCUGAAAAUAAUCAAAUUGAAGAACAUUGCUGAGCGAAUCAAAGCUUCAAAACCAUCAAGAUCAUCUAGCCAAGUCACUCUGGAGAUGGUGGAGUUUGUCAAAUCUUUGCUUGUUUCUGUUCAUCAUGCACUGUUCUUUAUUAGUGCAGAUGCUCAUGUGUCUGUUCUUGUCAAGAAGCUGUGGGAUAUACUAGGCUUCUUCACGUUUAUUGCAAAGCAGUGCAUUGAGCUUGAGAGUAUGAAGGAUUUCUUCACCCAUGCUGAGGAUGUAGCUUACACUGCAGCAUACCUAUGUUUCUUAGGCUUGCACGGCACUAUGGAUACUGAUAUCUCUAAAUUUCUGAAAAGGAUAAGUCCUUUUAGCCCUGAUGUGAGGCAGAUUUAUCUGAGUGUCUUGAUGGGGUUAAAUUCAUUCAGAUCAGAGACUACAAUGAAUGCCAAAUAUAUUUUUGAUUUUGUUAGUGCCCUCCGUAAUGACCUGGAAGAGCUACUAAGCAAUGUUCAUCAAAGUCCGUGCAUUCGUCUCCAACAAGGACUUUCACACCUUUCUAGAUUUCUCUGGGACAUAAAAUCAGAUCCAUUUCCACUUGGAGAAUUGAUUUCUCUUCAAUCACAGAUGCAAGCUGUGGCCAUUGAGGCAGCGGUUGCAAUCUACACCUCAUAUGAUGAGAAAGUGAAAAUGAAGACUACUGAAAUAGACCAUUUGCCUUUUAUUUUGCAACUGAAGUUAAAUCAUGUCAAGGUAGAAGUCUCCCUGAUUAAGCUACUGAAAAGUAAACCCACUGUAAUAGCUCCUCUAAAAGAUCUGAUUGAUUAUGUUUGGGAAGAGCUGAUAUUCAUGAAAACUUUUUUCAUGGAUGCAUUUGAGCAGUUCAAAGAGCAAACUAACGUCACUGAAUUUUUCAAUCUUAUUCAAUCUGUAACUAGCCAAGCAUGGUUGGUCAUUUAUUCUCUUUAUCGUGACAUAAAGAAAGAAGGCUUAGCCAGGGAAAUUAGUUGGUCGCAUUUUCAGUUGCUUCUUAAGUUCAGGUUUAUUAGGGCAGUGAUUGGACAGAUAUGUCCCAGAAUUUCUGUGUCAUCAAUACUGGACCAUCCCACGAUAAAUCUGUUGAACUUUCUUCCUCUCAACUUUAAGGUCCUUGAUUCUUAUUUCAGCAUGCUAAAAUCAUCAACAAUAGAUUCUUCCGAUAGCCCGAUGAUGGAUUUGGUUUUGAUGGGGUUUCAUGAAUAUAUUCUUGACAACCUGCAACUGAAGAAUGAAACCAGUUUGACAUUUACCAAUACAAAUGAGGUUAAAAAGUUUUACUAUGGAUUGUUGCUCCUGGUAACAUAUCUUUUUGAUCCUCUAGUUCAGUGUAGUGGAUUUGGAACUAUCGAAAUUGAGGCUGCUGGUGAUAGUAACAGAAAUAGAAGGGUCAGUCUUGUUCUUCAGUAUUUGACUGUAGCUUUAAAGCUUAUUGAGCCUGAGGAAACCUUGAUGGAUAUGCUAACCAAGGCCACAUUGAAAGCUCCAAUACUGGAUAUGGUUGAAAGUGCUCAUGAAGAGCUUAUUUUCCUCAGAGCUUUUCUCAUGGAUGUUCUCAGGCAACAGAUGAAGCUUAACAAAUAUCAUCAUCUCUUGAGGAAUGUUGAGGAGACUGCCAACAAGUUAGCACAAGUCAGUCGUUUUCGUAAUGAAAGAUUCAUGGACGAAAACAGCACCUGGGAAGUGUGUCUUAUAUUGUCUGAUUUCCUAUAUGAUAUUAAGUUUAUCAAGGUAGAAAUUAGAAAGGUAUGCAUUCAGGUCUUGGAUGCAUCACUUAUGACUUUGCCAGAUAUCAAAGGCCUUUUAAACUUUUUAUCAAACCGCCUGGACACAGUGCUUGACUGUGAUGCUGGUUCGAUUGCUUUUCUGAUGAACCGAAGUAGAGUUCUCAAAGAGAAACUUAUGUACUUGGGACACUUUCUUGCAGAUGUUGUACAACACUACAAUAUGCAUCAAGGACUCAAAGACCUCAUGAAACAUGUUCUAGAUACCAAGUAUGUCUGUUUAUUGUCUGUUGGGGAUUAUAAAUCUGCUUGGUAUUACAUGUUAUCUCUCUCCGAUAUGAAGCAAUUGCUUAAGUUUGUUGAGACAGAGGUCAAAACAAUUAUUCCUAAAGCUCCAGAGUCAUCAAGUUAUAGCUUCCCCAAGACAAAUGGAUUAGGAUUUCUUCAAUUUUUCCUAGGAAACUUGGAGGAGCUGUUAUGUUCUAAGCUCGAUUCCGUUAUUGACUGGAAGGAUCAGAUUAGAUCAGUCAAGGAAGGCAUACUGUGUCUAAGAGAUCAUUUCGCUGAGAACUUUGAUGAGCUAGAUGAAGUUUAUGGUUUUGUAUUGAAGGUCACUGAAAUGGCAUAUAAAGCAGAGUUUGUCAUUGACUCCUGCUUAGUCAGUUCUCAUCCACUCUGGUACAAAUCUCAUCGAAUGUCUGAAGUUCUUAAGAAUAUCAAGCUUUUAAAUAAAGCUGUUACUGAGACUUAUGAAAGAAAGGAGAUAGAUGUGACAGUGCACAAAGUUGCAAAGACCUCCAUGAAUCCUGUGGCAUCCUUAUUAGCUUAUACGCCAAGAGAAAAUGAAGAAAUGGAGGGCUUUCACGAGGCAAUGGAUAAAAUUAAGAGGCAACUACUUCGAAGAUCUUCUCAGCUAGAUAUUAUCUCCAUAGUUGGUAUGCCUGGAAUCGGCAAGACCACUCUGGCUGAGAAGAUUUACAAUAAUCUCAUAGUUACCCCUCACUUUGAUGUUCACGCUAAGUGUCGUGUGACUCAACUAUAUUCAUGGAAAGAGUUGUUGCUUACCAUCUUGAAUGAUGUUCUUGAUCCCGCUGAUCGCACUGGAAAAGAAGAUGGUGAAUUAGCUACUGAGCUGCGUCAAGUUUUGUUAACCAAGAGAUUCUUAAUUCUCGUUGAUGAUGUGUGGGAUAAAACAGUCUGGGACAAUUUAUAUAUGUGCUUCAGAGAUGCUAAGAAUGGGAGUAGAAUUAUUCUAACUACCCGGCUGAGUGACAUUGCCAAUUAUGCUAAAUGUAAGAGUGAACCCCAUCAUCUUCGUUUAUUCAGAGAUGACGAGAGUUGGACAUUAUUACAAGAAGAGGUGUUUCAAGGGGAGAGCUGUCCAACUGAACUUGUAGAUGUGGGAUUUCGAAUAGCAAAAAGUUGUGGAGGAUUGCCACUUUCCAUUGUAUUAGUUGGUGGUGUUCUGAAAGAGAAAGAGAAGAAAGAAGAUUUGUGGAAAGAAGUAGAAGAAAGUUUAGGUUCCAAAAAUAUUGGUAGCUUGCAAAAGAGUAUGUCUUUAAUUGGAUUCAGUUAUAAGAAUUUACCACAUCAUCUGAAGCCUUGUUUCCUCUAUUUUGGAGGAUUUUUUAAGGGGAAGGAUAUUCAUGUCUCAAAAUUGACUCGGUUGUGGCAAGCAGAAGGGUUUGUACAAGCAAAUAAGGAAAAAAGAACAGAUACCGCACACGAUUUCUUGGAAGAUCUUAUUAGUAGAAAUCUAGUAAUGGUCAUGAAGGAGAGACCUAAUGAUAAGGUGAAAAGUUGUCGCAUUCAUGAUCUCUUGCACAAUUUCUGCCUAGAAAAGUCCAAGCAAGAAAACUUCCUUAACCAAAUGAACAGGGAAGAAGAUAUGCUUCCUGAAAAACCUCAAGACUACCGAUUGUUCAUCCAUUCUUACCAAGAUGAGAUUGAUUCGUGGCGUCCAUGUGGCUCAAAUGUCCGUUCUUUACAAUUCAAAGUGACAGACCCGGAUAGCUUGUUAUGGCCUCGUGAUAUCUCCUUCAUCUUUGACAGCUUCAAACUUGUUAAAGUGUUGGAUUUGGAAUCGUUCAACAUAGGUGGCACUUUUCCUAGUGAAGUAGAGUCUUUAAUUCAUUUGAGGUACUUUGCUGUUCAAACAUAUGCAAAUUCAAUUCCUUCGUUUAUAGCUAAGCUUCGGAAUCUUGAAACUUUUGUGGUAAGAGGAUUGGGAGGAGAGGUGAUAAUACCUUCUUCUAUUCUAAAGAUGGUCAAAUUGAGGCAUUUACUUGUAAAGGAUCGUGCUUCAUUUAGUUUGCAAGGAAACAUGGGUGAAUCAUUUUCUAACUCUCAAUUAGAUUAUUUGGAAACCUUUUCCACUCCACGCCUCUCUUAUGGUCAAGAUGCAGAGAUGAUUUUGACAAAGAUGCCAAAUUUGAGAAAGUUGAAUUGUAUAUUUUUGGAGACAUUUAGUUAUUUAGAGAAAUUGAAGGGAAGGUGUGUUCGUUUUCCCACAUUAGAGUUUCUAAGUCACCUUGAAUCCCUAAAGUUGGUUUCCAACUGCUAUCCAUCUAAGCUUCCUCAUGUGUUCAAUUUCCCCUCAAAACUAAGGGAAUUGACUUUGUCUAAGUUUCGCUUACCCUGGUACGAAAUUUCUAUCGUUGGAGAACUGCCUAACUUGGAGAUCCUAAGGUUGCUUUCCAGAGCCUUCGAAGGGAAUGAAUGGGAAGUGAAUGAUUCAGAAUUUCCUGAACUCAAAUACUUAAAUUUGGACAACAUCAACAUUUCACAGUGGUCCGUCUCUGAUGAUGCUUUUCCUAAGCUUGAACGUUUGGUUUUAACCAAGUGUAAGCAGCUUGAGGAAAUCCCUUCUCAUUUUGGUGACGCCGUAACUCUGAAAAGCAUUGAAGUAAACAGGUGUGGCUGGUCUGUUUCCAAUUCAGCCUUGGAAAUUCAAACUGCGCAACAUGAAGACAUGGCAAAUGAUGCUUUCGCAGUUACCAUACAGCCUCCAGAUUGGGCUAGAAAACCAUUUGCUUGACUCGUUUCUGGUAGAUGAUACAUGUUUUAGCAUCCAGAGUCCAACUUGACUUUAUAUCUGAAUAAAAGGAGUCUUGAGUAGAAAAGAUCACGAGUUAUAAUACUACACACACCUGAGCCUAACUCAACCUCAAAAGCUAGCUCAUGAGGGGAGGUUUGUCCAAGUCCAUCUAAAGAGACCAAAUUCCCAUCCCUCUACCGAUAUGAGACUUCUUAACUGUACAACAGAUAUCCAGGACAGGAGUCCAAAGACGUAUAGACUCAAGCAUCCAAAGCAACAAAAGAGUCGGAGUUCUUAGAAGAUGGGAAGCACGGCUAAGAGCUAUAAAUAUAUAAGCUUUCUCACCUGCAUAUCAUUAAACGAGAGAGAGUUGAAGUAUGUGAGCCUUGUAAACUACAUGUACACACCACUAGCUAGCAAUAUUCCAUAUAGUCUAACAAUCAAACAUUAAAAUAUUUUAAUGUUUGAUUGUUAG